rnacentral:rRNA from 1 species
CAGCCGCCACGGUAAUACGGAGGGCGCGAGCGUUACCCGGAUUUACUGGGCGUAAAGGGCGUGUAGGCGGCCUGGGGCGUCCCAUGUGAAAGGCCACGGCUCAACCGUGGAGGAGCGUGGGAUACGCUCAGGCUAGAGGGUGGGAGAGGGUGGUGGAAUUCCCGGAGUAGCGGUGAAAUGCGCAGAUACCGGGAGGAACGCCGAUGGCGAAGGCAGCCACCUGGUCCACUUCUGACGCUGAGGCGCGAAAGCGUGGGGAGCAAACCGGAUUAGAUACCCGUGUAGUCCCUGUCUCUUAUAC